rnacentral:rRNA from 2 species
GAUGAACGCUAGCGAUAGGCCUAACACAUGCAAGUCGAGGGGCAGCACAAAGAGUAGCAAUACUUUUGGUGGCGACCGGCGGAUGGGUGAGUAACACGUAUGCAACUUACCUUCAACAGAGGGAUAACCCGUUGAAAGACGGACUAAUACCUCAUAAUACAGGGGCACCACAUGGUGAUAUUUGUUAAAGAUUAAUCGGUUGAAGAUGGGCAUGCGUAUGAUUAGCUAGUUGGUGAGGUAACGGCUCACCAAGGCAACGAUCAUUAGGGGUUCUGAGAGGAAGGUCCCCCACACUGGUACUGAGACACGGACCAGACUCCUACGGGAGGCAGCAGUGAGGAAUAUUGGUCAAUGGACGCAAGUCUGAACCAGCCAAGUCGCGUGAAGGAAGACUGCCCUAUGGGUUGUAAACUUCUUUUGUACAGGAAUAAAGUGCUUUACGUGUAGAGUUUUGUAUGUACUGUACGAAUAAGGAUCGGCUAACUCCGUG